UACGUAGGGGGGCUAGCGUUGUCCGGAAUCAUUGGGCGUAAAGAGCGUGUAGGCGGUCCGGUAAGUCCGCUGUGAAAGUCGGGGGCUCAACCCUCGAAUGCCGGUGGAUACUGUCGGGCUAGAGUGCGGAAGAGGCGAGUGGAAUUCCGUGGUGUAGCGGUGAAAUGCGCAGAUAUCAGGAGGAACACCGAUGGCGAAGGCAGCUCGCUGGGACGGUACUGACGCUGAGACGCGAAAGCGUGGGGAGCAAACAGG
rnacentral:rRNA from 1 species